rnacentral:miRNA from 1 species
UUCACCUCUCUCCAUACUUAG